AGCAGCCGCGGUAAUUCCAGCUCCAAUAGCGUAUAUUAAAGUUGUUGCAGUUAAAAAGCUCGUAGUUGAAUUUCGGGAUCAAUAUAUUGGUCAUGCUUAGGUAUGUACUGGUAUUAUUGAUUUCUCCCUUCUGAAGAACCAUAAUGUCAUUAAUUUGAUGUCAUGGGGAAUCAGGACUGUUACUUUGAAAAAAUUAGAGUGUUUAAAGCAGGCUUUCGCUUGAAUACAUUAGCAUGGAAUAAUGAAAUAGGACGUUUGAUUCUAUUUUGUUGGUUUCUAGGAUCGACGUAAUGAUUAAUAGGGAUAGUUGGGGGCAUUAGUAUUCAAUUGUCAGAGGUGAAAUUCUUGGAUUUAUUGAAGACUAACUACUGCGAAAGCAUUUGCCAAGGAUGUUUUCAUUAAUCAAGAACGAAAGUUAGGGGAUCGAAGACGAUCAGAUACCGUCGUAGUCUUAACCAUAAACUAU
rnacentral:rRNA from 1 species